rnacentral:miRNA from 7 species
CUUUUCAGUGGUGCCCAGUGCCAGGACAAGAGGCAGUGGGCACAAACAGGAACACAGGCAGCUCCCUUUGAACAUCAGG